UGAUUCGCUAAAGGAUGAGUCUGCGUAGCAUUAGCUAGUUGGUGAGGUAACGGCUCACCAAGGCAUCGAUGCUUAGCUGGUCUGAGAGGAUGAUCAGCCACACUGGGACUGAGAUACGGCCCAGACUCCUACGGGAGGCAGCAGUGAGGAAUAUUGCACAAUGGGGGCAACCCUGAUGCAGCAACGCCGCGUGUAUGAAGAAUCGGUUUAUCCGUGUAAAGUACUGUUGAUUGGGAAGAACGGCAGGGUUAGCAGCCUUGUUUGACGGUACCAGUUAAGAAAGCUCCGGCUAACUCCGUGCCAGCAGCCGCGGUAAUACGGAGGGAGCAAACGUUGUCCGGAAUCAUUGGGCGUAAAGGGUACGAAGGUUGGAUCUUAAGUCAGUUGUUAAAGGUUACGGCUUAACCGUAAUUUGCAAUUGAAACUGGGAUUCUUGAGUUCGAGAGGGGACGGUGGAAUAUCUAGUGUAGCGGUGGAAUGCGUAGAUAUUAGAUAGAACACCUGAGGCGAAGGCGACCGUCUGGCUCGUAACUGACACUCAAGUACGAAAGCAUGGGUAGCGAACAGGAUUAGAUACCCUGGUAGUCCAUGCCGUAAACGAUGGAUACUAGAUGUCCGGGGAACUAACCCCCUGGGUGUCGCAGCAAACGCAUUAAGUAUCCCGCCUGGGGAGUACGAUCGCAAGGUUGAAACUCAAAGGAAUUGACGGGGGCCCGCACAAGC
rnacentral:rRNA from 1 species